rnacentral:rRNA from 1 species
AUACGUAGGGGGCGAGCGUUGUCCGGAAUGAUUGGGCGUAAAGGGCGCGUAGGCGGCCCGGUAAGUCUGGAGUGAAAGUCCUGUUUUUAAGAUGGGAAUUGCUUUGGAUACUGUCGGGCUUGAGUGCAGGAGAGGUAAGUGGAAUUCCCAGUGUAGCGGUGAAAUGCGUAGAGAUUGGGAGGAACACCAGUGGCGAAGGCGGAUUACUGGACGGUAACUGACGCUGAUGCGCGAAAGUGUGGGGAGCAAACAGGAUUAGAUACCCUGGUAGUCCACACUGUAACCGAUGAAUGCUAGGUGUAGGGGGUAUCGACCCCUUCUGUGCCGCAGUCAACACAAUAAGCAUUCCGCCUGGGGAGUACGGCCGCAAGGUUGAAACUCAAAGGAAUUGACGGGG